AUUGAACGCUGGCGGCAGGCCUAACACAUGCAAGUCGAGCGGGGUUUUCGGACCUAGCGGCGGACGGGUGAGUAAUGCGUAGGAAGCUACCCGAUAGAGGGGGAUACCAGUUGGAAACGACUGUUAAUACCGCAUAAUGUCUACGGACCAAAGUGUGGGACCUUCGGGCCACAUGCUAUCGGAUGCGCCUACGUGGGAUUAGCUCGUUGGUGGGGUAAUGGCUCACCAAGGCGACGAUCCCUAGCUGGUUUGAGAGGAUGAUCAGCCACACUGGAACUGAGACACGGGCCAGACCCCUACGGGAGGCAGCAGUGGGGAAUAUUGGGCAAUGGGCGCAAGCCUGAUCCAGCCAUGCCGCGUGUGUGAAGAAGGCCUUCGGGUUGUAAAGCACUUUCAGUAGGGAGGAAGGGUGUUGUGUUAAUAGCACAGCAUUUUGACGUUACCUACAGAAGAAGCACCGGCUAACUCUGUGCCAGCUGCCGCGGUAAGAC
rnacentral:rRNA from 1 species